rnacentral:rRNA from 1 species
AGGAAUAAGUGCACGAGGUGGAUGCCUUGGCGAUCACAGGCGAAGAAGGACGUGGAAGGCUGCGAAAAGCCCUGACAAGCUGUCAACGAGCGUUAAAGUCAGGGAUGUCCGAAUGGGGGAACCCGGCGUGCGAAGAGUGCGUCACCGUAUGCUGAAUAAAAUAGGCAUAAGGAGCGAACCUGGGGAACUGAAACAUCUAAGUACCCGGAGGAAAAGAAAUCAACCGAGAUUCCCUUAGUAGUGGCGAGCGAAAGGGGAGGAGCCUGUACGAGUUAGCGCGAUCGAGAGUAGAACUAUCUGGGAAGGUAGACGGAACAGGGUGAAAGUCCCGUAUACGGAAGCGAUUGAGUGGGACUAAGCGUACGAAAAGUAGGGCGGGGCACGAGGAACCCUGUCUGAAGAAGGGGGGACCAUCCUCCAAGGCUAAAUACUAGUGAUCGACCGAUAGAGGACAAGUACCGUGAGGGAAAGGUGAAAAGAACCCCGGGAGGGGAGUGAAAUAGAAUCUGAAACGGCGUGCAUACAUAACAGUGGGAGCCGCAAGGUGACUGCGUACCUUUUGUAUAAUGGGUCAGCGAGUUACAUUUACUGGCAAGCUUAACCGAAUAGGGGAGGCGAAGCGAAAGCGAGUUUUAAUAGAGCGAAUAGUCUGUAGAUGUAGACCCGAAACCGGAUGAUCUAUGCAUGACCAGGGUGAAGGUUGGGUAAAACCAACUGGAGGCCCGAACCCACUACUGUUGCAAAAGUAGGGGAUGAGUUGUGGAUAGGGGUGAAAGGCCAAACAAAUCCGGAGAUAGCUGGUUCUCCCCGAAAACUAUUGAGGUAGUGCCUUGUAAAGUGAUUACCUGGGGUAGAGCACUGUAAUGGUUGUGGGGGUCAUUGCGACUUACUUCGCCAUAGCAAACUCCGAAUACAGGUAAUUUGAUUACAGGAGACAGUCCUAGGGUGCUAACGUUCUAGGACAAGAGGGAAACAACCCAGACCGCCAGCUAAGGUCCCAAAGUAAGGUUAAGUGUGAAACGAAGUGGGAAGGCGAAGACAGCCAGGAGGUUGGCUUAGAAGCAGCCAUCCUUUGAAGAAAGCGUAAUAGCUCAC